rnacentral:tRNA from 1 species
UGGAAACGAUCGGAUUUGAACCGAUGACUUUAUGCGUGCAAAGCAUACGUUCUACCAACUGAACUACGUCCCC